CAGAGGUGGCAAGCGUUGCUCGGUAUCACUGGGCUUAAAGGGCGCGUAGGCGGUGCGGUGCGGUUUCGGUGAAAUCCCUCGGCCCAACCGAGGAACAGCCGGGGCUACGGCCGCGCUAGACGGCAUCAGGGGACAGUGGAACUCCCGGUGGAGCGGUGAAAUGCGUAGAUAUCGGGAGGAACGCCGGUGGCGAAAGCGACUGUCUGGGGUGCCUGUGACGCUGAGGCGCGAAAGCCAGGGGAUCAAACGGGAUUAGAUACCCCGGUAGUCCUGGCCCUAAACGAUGCGCACUAGGUAGCGGGGAAUUCCGAUUUCCCGCUGCCGGAGUAAAAAUCUUAAGUGCGCCGCCUGGGGAGUACGGCCGCAAGGUUA
rnacentral:rRNA from 1 species